AUGAGGCUUGCCUUGCUCGACGUCACCCCAUCAAGAUCCUUCUUCCUGCUACAUCUCAAAAACAUCGCAAGACACAGUCCUAAUUGUGUCCAGAUAUUUAUCUCUGUUCAACUUGCCUUAAUUGAAAUUCUGAACAAGAGAAGGUCGGCGCGCGGCGUAUCCGUCCCAAAACCACAGGUGAACAUACUACCAAACUCCAAGUCUCCAAGACUCCAACCCGUGAUGUACGUUCGCAUCCACAAUGGCUGCCGCCUCAACAUGGCAAUGGAUACCCGCAACUCGCGAACCCGGCGGGUAAUCGAGAUGGGUAUUUUUACCCGCGGGUAUUACCCACACCCGACCAGGUACGGGUAUGGAAAAAGUUUGAAACCUGAGGUGCGGGUGCGGGUACGGCGAUCGGUGUGGCGCCGGAAGAGCACCGUCAACCUCGAUAGCAGGCCGUACGCAAAAGCAGAGCGAGACCUCUACUACUGUACUCCAACGCUUGAGGCUUUCUUCGACGACGCCCACGACAUCCUCGCAGCGCUCCGCCGGCCGCGCAAAGGAUCCCGCCGCCGCCGCCGCCGCCAUGGCGUGGGCCUCAAGACGCUCAAGCUCUUCCUGGAGGAAGGAGCCUACUACAUCAGCAAGAGCUGGCGUACGGAGGGCGACAAGGCCGAACCGGGCCACAGGGUCGCCGAACUCCUCGCCGACCCUGCCGUGGCGCGGCUGGAAGAGCUCAGCAUCGGCUGCGGGCAGGGCCAUACAAGAGAAGAGAGUACCCUCACAAACUGCAACCUAGAGCCGCCGUCGACGGUGCCGUCCUCGGGCCUGGCUUUCCCGUGCCUGACAGAUCUGACGUUGCGGAACUGCUUUUUCUUGGAGGGGUAUCUUCAGGACAUGGUCGACGCCGCGGCGGCGCUCACCAGCAUGACGCUGGUGAACGUCAAACAAAAGGCGGCGGAGGCGCCGGGUUCUGACAAGAGAUUCUACGAGUGGGACUACUUCAGGCUGCCACUACGCCUCCGAUGCCCGAUGAUCACCGCCUUGGUGCUCGUGACCUUUGUCGACAAGAAGGAGCCCGUGAAGCUCUCGCUCACAUCACCGGCGCCGGGGCUCGCACGAGUCGAUUUCGAUGUGGAUCACCACCAUCAGGGUGGCUGCGAGAUCUUGAAUUACGAGCCGUUGUCCCGCAUGACGGCAAGCUUCUCCAGCACGAGAGCCCUCAAGGUGCGCCUCGAGUGCAUCGAGGACAUCGUCGCCGACGAGGAUGAGGACGCCGGAAUCAUGCUGCCAACAUUCCCGAACCUGAAGCUCCUCGAACUAGACGGAGAGUACCAGGACGUGGACAGCAAGACGCCGGUGGCAAUGGCGAGGAUUCUCCGCUCCUGCCCGGUGAUGUCCGAGCUCCGGCUCAAGUUGGCCAUGCGGUACUACAACUACUACCACGCCGCGAAUCUGGAUCGACGGCGACGAGCGACGCCGCGCUUCCUCGCCAACUCGGCACCGACGACGACGGGCGGCGUGACCGUUCCUCACCACAUCAGACGUAGACGGACACGCCUCCCCUGGUUUUUCGCGGAACGUGGCGAGCCGGAGCAGUACACAUCUGGUGGAUGGAUGGAUGGAUGGAUCCAUGUACGUGGUCAGGUAGAUGUAGGGCUAGAUGGGUGGAUCAUGGAUGGAUGUAUUGUAUUCUGUACGGCUAGAUGUAGCAGCAACGGAUGGAUGGAUCAUACACCUACCGUCGCAACAAUGGACAAGCAAAAGGGGAAGGCGAGUGGGAAGGAGAAGGAGAAAGAGAGGACGUUGGACUCCAUUAUGAAGAGAAAGUUGCCGGUCUCGGGGAUGCAGAAGGGGAAUGGGAAGGGCAAUGCAGCAGCUACUACACGGCUACCGAUGAAGCUGACAAAUGAUUCCAGCAAUGUCCCAAUCGCUGAGUUGUUGUAUAGGGUAAAAAAGAAACCUCCGCCUCGACGUCUCCCUGACCCCACCGGCGCUGGCGUGCGUGCCGGAAUCGCCGUUGCCUCCGGCUCCGCAAACUACUAUGAGAGGGAGGCUACAUCUUCGCAGGCAAUGGAGCAUGAUAAGCAAGCGGAGGAGGAUCAUGAAGAGGUGGAAGAGGAUGAGGAGGAGGACGAGGAAGAGCAAGAUACUUUGUUUAAGGUGCCGCCUGGGGUUGGUGACAAAUCAGAUUCAGAUGGGUUGGUGACAAAUCAGAUUCAGCCAAGAACAAUUGCAACACAAAUACCUCGAUGCCACUUAUGGAUUGUGACUUUCAGUCCUUCUUAUCAGCCACUUCAUCAACACCAUCAAAAAGAAUCAACUUUCAGCACGGGUGAAAGAGUUUUAGAUGACUACAGGAGUUCUUUGAAACCAGAAAUGGUGGAAGCCUUGGUGUGCGGUGCUAGUUAUAUCAAAGGUUAUCACAAGGACUUCAAUGUGGUGGAGAGGGAUGAAGAUGAGGAUGACGAUGUUGAGAAUAUCAAGUUGCCCAAGAUUGUUGAUGUGGGGGAUAUUCGCCAUGUGGGUGUUGCUCUUGCUAUUUUGAAGAUGGAUGUCUACAUGAUCUUCUCAUGUGGAUUGUUGAGGUUUAAUUGCCGCAAAAAAUCAAGUAUAUACACUAUAUACAGAGCGAGCCGAGCCGAGCCGAGCCGCUCCAGAGCGAGCCAAAGCCAGGCUCGGAUCAAGCUCGGCUCGGCUCGGCUCGUGUCCAGCGACCGCAAGCACGAGGAGCCGGUCGGGGGUCCCUUUAGCGAGUCCAUGGAGCGGUCCAAGAGGCUCGCAUCCAUGUCAUCGGCCAUGGACUUCGGCGGGGUCUCGGAGCUCUCGAACGCCCUGACCAACAACAAAUGCGAGUUCCGCUGCCUUCAGACGAGCCUCCGGAAGGUGACGCUGCAGUUCAAGGCCAAGGAGGUGAACUGCUUCCCGGCGCAGCUCGCCAAGUUCCUCGUGGAGAACGCCAUGGUGCUUGAGGAGAUGCACGUCGACGACGGGAGCCAAUUCUGGUCGGACCACCUCUGUCACAAGGUUGCGAGAUGGAGAGACGAGUCUUUCCGCCUGAAGAACCUGCCGGACGCGGCCGCGGGGUUUCGGGUGUGCCAGCUGCAGCUGGAUAAUCCAGAGGGAGGUUCUAAUCAGGGGCGUGGCGGCAAGCCAGGGGACGAGUCUAAUGGAGAACAAUGUUAUGACUCCUAUUAG
rnacentral:rRNA from 1 species